rnacentral:rRNA from 1 species
UACGGGAGGCAGCAGUGAGGAAUAUUGGUCAAUGGGCGGAAGCCUGAACCAGCCAUGCCGCGUGCGGGAAGGAGGCCCUAUGGGCUGUGAACCGCUUUUGCCUGGGGGCAAUAAGGGCGUCGUGCACGUCCGAUGAGAGUACCAGGCGAAUAAGCAUCGGCUAACUCCGUGCCAGCAGCCGCGGUAAUACGGGGGAUGCGAGCGUUAUCCGGAUUCAUUGGGUUUAAAGGGUGCGUAGGCUGUGCGUCAAGUCAGGGGUGAAAUUCCGGGGCUCAACUCCGGGGCUGCCCUUGAUACUGUCGCGCUGGAGUGCGGAUGCCGCCGGAGGAAUGAGUGGUGUAGCGGUGAAAUGCUUAGAUAUCACCCAGAACACCGAUUGCGAAGGCAUCUGGCGAAUCCGUAACUGACGCUGAGGCACGAAAGCGUGGGGAUAGAACAGGAUUAGAUACCCUGGUAUUCCACGCCAUAAACGAUGAUGGCUAACCGUCGGCGACACACUGUCGGUGGCCAAGCGAAAGCGAUAAGCCAUCCACCUGGGGAGUACGUCGGCAACGAUGCAACUCAAAUGAAUUGACGG